rnacentral:rRNA from 1 species
UGGGGAAUCUUGGACAAUGGGCGCAAGCCUGAUCCAGCCAUGCCGCGUGGAUGAUGAAGGCCUUAGGGUUGUAAAAUCCUUUCGUUGGGGACGAUAAUGACGGUACCCAAAGAAGAAGCUCCGGCUAACUUCGUGCCAGCAGCCGCGGUAAUACGGGGGGUGCAAGCGUUAAUCGGAAUUAUUGGGCGUAAAGGGUGCGUAGGUUGUUUGAUAAGAUAUAUGUGAAAUACCUGGGCUCAACCUGGGAAGGUCAUAUAAGACUGUCAGACUCGAGUAUGGGAGAGGGUAGAGGAAUUUCCGGUGUAGCGGUGAAAUGCGUAGAUAUCGGAAGGAACAUCGGUGGCGAGGCGUCUACCUGGCCUAAUACUGACACUGAGGCACGAAAGCGUGGGGAGCAAACAGGAUUAGAUACCCAAGUAGUCCCUGAGCGGGCUGGCAAGGCGCAU